UUGGGUUCGGGGUUAGGGGUGGAAUAACCCCUUAGUCCCGAAGUUAUUUUCAAACACCCAAUUUAGAGCGUCGGGUUAGCUCCACUACUCUAAUCAAACAAAACACUAUUUUAUCUAUUAUCCUUCUUAUCCCGCCUAUUCCAAUCAAACACUAUUUUACCUAUAUCUGGACUAAACCAAAUUCUUAACCAAACACAAAAUUACUUUAAUCCCACCUUAACCCUGACCUUAACUCUAUCCCUGAAAUAACAAAUUUUUACUUAACCCCGAACCAAAUGGUAGCAAAGAGUUUUUUUGUUUUAACCCCGCUUUCGGAUA
rnacentral:lncRNA from 1 species